GCUCAAGUAGCUCAGUUGGUAGAGCACCUCCUUGGUAAGGAGGAGGUCACCGGUUCAAGUCCGGUCUUGAGCU
rnacentral:tRNA from 1 species